CGGGCUAGGGUGACGGGCAGCGCGGGAGCGGGCUGGCUGGUUGCCGGCCGACGCUGGGCCCUGGGGCGCUGCCGGGGCCUGCGGGCCGUGGGUCCAGGCGUGAGCCUAGGGCCUGGUGGUGCUCUCUUCCCCUCCGCCUGCCGGCCAUGUGGGCCGAAGACUGGCAGCGUGGCCUCCCGUACCCCCUCUCCGGUUGAGGGUCUGCUCUCUGGCCUGGAUCCCACCCGCUGGCUGGCGACGAAAGGUGACAGCAUCGGCCGGGUCGGCCCACGUGCAAGCUUCGCGGUCCGGAGCCUCUCGCAGGAAUGAGACCGGGAAGUUGGGAAUUGAGCCUUGCAGCUUAUCCAUAUGGAAGGUCUUGAAAGAAGUCGCAUGCCUUUUCGAGCUCAGGUAGAAACAGUAAAGCGAAAUAACUUUUGGUUUUCCCUUCCCCCACCCUGUGGUAAAAAGGAUGAACUGAACACUGAGAUCGCCCACAGUUAGUGGACAGAAACCCAGGUAGUUCACACCGUGACCUGAGGAAUGGAGAGAUGUCAGUUACUCAACUACACACAUACGACACCUAAGGAAAUAUUGAAGAUUUGGUGGUUGUAGUAGAUUACGGGCCUGUGGUGUUUUGUUGUUGUUGUUGGUUUUUUGUCUAUGCCUUGUAGAUAAUCAUUUUUACCUCAGUCGUUUGAUUUUGAAAACUCCGAAGGGUUCAUUAUACAGCUUUUAGGUGACAUUUACUUCUACGUGUUUUUUUUUUUACGGUAGUUACAGAAGUCUCAAAUCCAAAAUGUUAAGACUCUUAUUAACAAAGUUCUCAAAAUCUUGUUAUAUUUGUGCAGAUAAAGUUUUGUGUGAAAUGGAAAA